GGUCGCUUAGCUCAGUUGGUUAGAGCGUGGUGCUAAUAUUGGCAGUCCUCCCCAGACGUCUCAAAAGAUAACGCCAAGGUCGCGAGUUCGACCCUCGUAGUGACCA
rnacentral:tRNA from 1 species